rnacentral:sRNA from 1 species
AUGGGUUCAGACAAGUAUAUAAUAACAGGUAUUCACCAUUAUAGUAUCAUACAGAGUAUUUUCACUGCCCUAAAAAUCCUUCCGGGCUUUGCCUGUUCAUUCCUCUCUCACUCCUAAUUCCUGGCAACCACUGAUACUUUUGCCUUUUCUAGAAUAUCAUAUAUUUGGAAUCAUACAGUAGAUAAUCUUUUCAGAUAGACUUCUUUCACUUAGUAAUAUGCACUUAAGUUUUCUCCAGGUCUUUUUUUGGCUUGAUAGCUCAUUUCUUUUUAGUGCUGAAUCAUAUUUCAUUGUCUUAAUGAACCACAGUUUAUUUAGCCAUUCACCUACAGAAGGACAUUUGGUUGCUUCCAAGUUUUGGCAAUUAUGGAUAAAGCUGCUAUCAACAUCCAUAUACAGGUUUUCAUGUAGACGUAAGUUUUCAACUCCUUUGUGUAAAUACCAAAGAGUGUGUUUGCUGGGUUAUAUGGCAAAAACAUGUUUGCUUUUGUAAGAAACCACCAAAAUGUCUUCCAAAGUGGCUGUAUGAUUUUGCAUUCCCACCAGCUGUCACUGCUAAUUGGGCAGACCUCCUUUAGAGAUGUCACCAAAGAUAGUGUAAUGCUCUUCACUGUAGGCAUUUAUGAUCUAUACAAGAAUAACAGUGGAUUCUGGGUCAGUGCCUUUAUUUUAUCCUGCCAAGUUCAAGAGAAAGGUUUUUUCUUAUUCUAAGAGAAGACUGUUAUGGUAAAUUAAAAGGAAGAAAUAUAUAAUUACUCUUCUGUUGAGGAGGGAGAAGAAGGAAACACUGUGAUGUAAAUGGCAGAAAUUCAAUAAUUUAAUUCAAACUAAAGAGAACGGGAAUGUAUUGAAUUCAGGAAUGGAAUGUAACGGGAAACUCCACUGGUGGUCUUCAGGCAUGGCUGAAUCCCAUGUCUCAAAUGAUAUCAUCAGGAAUAUGUUCCUCCCAUCCCUCAGCUCUGUGUUCCUUGGUGUGGUCUUUACUUUUUCCACUUGGUAAUAUGAAUGUCCUCCAAUAUCCUCCCCUACUGCCAGAGAUACCAGAGAAAGGAGAGCUUCUCUGAUAGUUCCAUCAAAACUCCCAGGGAUGACUCUGAUUGGUCAGCCUGCAUCACAUGCCAAUUUUAUUGGUCAAGGAAGUGGGACCAUGUGAUUGACAUGAGUAUAAGACAAUCUGUUCCUGAAAGAAAAGGGUGCUGGGGGAAAAGGCAACAGAUGUCCACCACAGCAUGUUUUUUCCCUUUACUGGUUAUUAUCUCUUUUUAGACUCCCUCAGCACUGGACAGCCGAGACCACGAAGGACUUGGGACCCUUUCUAGUACUUUUCUCAGGAGAUGAAUUAAGCUCUAUAGCCACAAAG